UCGUGCCAGAGGUUAGUUGUUUCGGUGCUACUGGUGGUGGUGGUGGCGGUGGUGGUGGUCGUCGUCUUCAUCGUCGUUGUAGUAGUGAUGGUGGUAGUGGUGGUAGUAGUAUUAGUGGUGGUGGUAGUAGUAGUAGUAGUAGUAGUAGUAGUGGUAGUGGUGCUAGUAGUAGUAAUGGUGAUGGUGGUUGUAGUAGUAGUGGUGAUGGUGGUGGUAGUAGUAGUAAAAGUAGUGAUGGUGGUGGUGGUGGUAGUAGUAAUAACAGUAGUGAUGGUGGUGGCGGUGGUAGUAGUAGUAGUUGUUGUGUUUUUCUGAUUUAGGCACUAUGUACCAUGGACUACAAUAUCAAAUGUAUCAUUAAAAGAAAAAAAAACCCCAAAAUAAUAAUAAUAAUAAUAAUAAUAUAAUAGCGUGGUGGAGAUUUGGUUGAUAUUUCUAGCAUAUCGAGCGUCCACACAGAGACUCCAUCCUUUGCAUAAAGUUAAAAAUAUGGUAGACACUAUUCUCGUAAACCGGAAGUAACCGGAAGUGGUUAAUAGGAAACUUGUCAGAAAUCUGGAAACCGGAAGAAAAUAUUUGCUGUUACAGGUGAUGGUGGUGGUAGUAGCAGCGGCGACGAUGACAGCGGUGGUGGUGGUGGUGAUGGUAGACGUUGUAGUGGUGGUGGUGCUGGUAGACGUAGUAGUGUGGUGGUGCUAGUGGUAGUUGUUGUUGUUGGGUGUUAGUGGUAGUGGUAGUGCUGGUGGUGGUUGUAGUGUUGUUGGUGGUGGCGGUGGGUUAAAUGACAGUAUUGGUGUUAGUGGUAGUUUUGGUGGCGGUGUUGUUGUUGGUGGUAGUUAUGGCACUGGUAGUUUUGGUGGUGGUAUAUAUAAAUCGCUGAGCGAGGUAUACUUCAGGAUAUAGUUAUAUAUGGAGGAGACGCCUUCGGUCAUGACUGACCAUGGGAUUGCACCUAGAAGGUUACCCUUCGUGGCACAAGUCCGGGCUAGGUUGUUUGUGGAAGACCAGCCGUCGCCCAUGCACACCAAGCUUCCUCUCUCCACGCCACCGAUGUUAUCCAAAGGAAAGGCAAAGGCCAAUACAGCUUGGCACCAGUGACGUCGCAACUCAUUUCUACAGCUGAGUUAACUGGAGCAACGUGGAACACAACACGUGGCCCGGUCCAAGAAUCGAACUCACAACCUCACGAUCGUAAGCUCGACGCUCUAACUACUGACCCAUGCACCUUCAAAUAUAUCUAUCUAUAUAUAUAUAUAUAUAUGUGUGUGUGUGUUUGUGUGUGGGUGGGUGUGUGUGUGUGUGUGUGUGUGUGUGUGUGUGUGUGUAUGUAUGUAUGUAUGUACGUGUGUAUAUAUAUAUGUCUGUAUAUAUAUAUAUAUAUAUACAUAUAUGUAUGUAUGUAUAUAUGUAUGUAUGUAUAUAUAUAUAUAUAUAUAUAUAUAUAUAUAUAUAUGUAUGUAUAUAUAUAUAUAUAUAUAUAUAUAUAUAUAUAUAUAUAUAUAUAUAUUUAUAUAUAUAUAUAAAGUUUAUAAAUUAUAGGAAAGACAUGUCGAAGACUCCAAGAUAUAAAUAGCUUAACGACAUCCCGAGCGUUCGUCGCAUUCAAUUUUACUAUUUUUAUAUAUAUAUAUAUAUACAUGGAUGCAUAUUUAUAUAUAUAUGCAAUAUAUGCAUAUAUAUAUGUGCAUAUAUAUAUAUAUAUAUAUAUAUAUAUACACACAUAUAUAUAUAUAAAGAAUAUAAGUUGUGGGCCUAUAAAUAUAUUUGUAAAUAGAUAUGUACGUAUACUUACAGACUCACACACACACACAUAUAUAUACAUAUAUACACACACAUAUAUAUACAUAUAUACACGCAACUACCGAAUUAUAAGGUGCACACCUAUAAAUAGACUUUCAUUUCUAUUUAUAAACCGUUUCGCUUUGUUUUCUUUCUUCCCGGUAUUCAUAGUUUUUUACAUAAAUAGAUUUUUAAACAAAUAUUUCUUUGAAGAUUUUUCUCACGCAAACAAAAAUACACACACAUACACAUACACGCACUCACACACACACACACACACACACACACACAUGCUAGUACACACAUCCACACACACCCGUGUUCACCGUCGCCCCCCCCGCUCUCCAAUCUCACCCAUAUACACAUACAUGUUUCUGAGUAGGCUUCUGUAAACACGUUUAUGGAACAGAGGUUGUGAAGAAAUAUCGUGAAUGAAUUUGACACGUUUGCGCUCAUUUGUCGUUUAUUUUUGUUGUCGUACGUUAAGCCGAAGUGCCGUUUAGUUGCGUAAUAAACACCAGACGCUUCAAUUUGUGCCAGUUAGUGACCACCACGACUGAGGUAGGUUCCCCUAUAUAUAUAUAUAUAUAUAUAUUCUUUUAUUCUUUCAAUUGUAUCAGUCAUUUGGCUGCAGCCAUGCUGCAGCACCGCCUUUUCAGUCGGACAAAUCGACCCCGGCACUUAUUCUUUCGUAGGCAUAGUACUUAUCCUAUCGGACUAUUCUGUCGAACCGUUAAGUUACGGGGACGCAAGCACACCAACACCGGUUGUCAAGCGGUGAAGGCGGAGAGAGAAACACAUGCACAAACACACAGACACGCGCGCGUGCACACAUACACAUAUAUACAUAUAUCUACGACGGGCUUCUUUCAGUUUCCGUCUUCUAAAUCCACUCACAAAGCUUUGGUCGGCCUAAGAAUAUAGUAGAAGAUAAGACACUUCCCCAAGUAACCACAAGGUGCGACUGAACCCGGAAGCAUGUGGUUGGUAAGCAAGCUUCUUACCACACAGCUACGCCUGCGCCUACAAAUAGAUAUAUAUUUUAACUUUUUUAGUAUGCCAAUGUUAACAGCUGAGACAUCAAGGGUUCUGAGCAUCUCUGUCUGUCUGUCUGUCUCUCUCACAAGAAACCUCAACGUUUAUUAGGCGGCGAGCUGGCAGAAUCGUUAGCACGCCGGGCGAAAUGCUUAGCGAUAUUUCGUCUGCUGCUACGUUCUGAGUUCAAAUUCCGCCGAGGUCGACUUUGCCUUUCAUCCUUUCCGGGUCGAUAAAUUAAGUACCAUUUACGCACUGGGGCCGAUGUAAUCGACUUAAUCCGUUUGUCUGUCCUUGUUUGUCCCUUCUAUGUUAAGCCCUUUGUGAGCAUUAAAGAAAUAAGAAACGUUAGCAUGCUGGGCGAAAUGCCUAGCGGUAUUUCGUCUGUCGUUACGUUCUGAGUUAAAUUCCGCCGAGGUCGACUUUGCCUUUCAUCCUUUCGGGGUCGAUUAAAUAAGUACCAGUUACGUACUGGGGCCGAUGUAAUCGACUUAAUCCCUUUGUCUGUCCUUGUUUGUCCCUUCUAUGUUUAGCUCAUUGUGGGCAAUAAAGACAUAAGAAACGUUAGCUCGCCGGGCGAAAUGCUUAGCGGUAUUUCGUCUUGUUAUUUCAUCUUUCAUCCUUUCGGGGUCGAUUAAAUAAGUACCAGUUGCACACUUGGGUCGAUAUAACCGACUCAAUCCUUUUGUCUGUCCUUGUUUAUCCUCUCUGUGUUUAGCCCUUGUGGGUAGUAAAGAAAUAGGCAUUUCAUCUUAAUCCCUUUGUCUGCCCUUGUUUGUCCCCUCUAUGUUUAGCCCGUUUUGGGCAAUAAAGAAAUAAAAAACCUCAGUGUUUAUUAUAUAUCGUGGCGUCAAGACGUCAAAUAACUGUCACCUUACACUGAACAUGGAGAGUACUAUUCAAUCUUUUUUUUUAGAUGCGGAAUUAAGUAUAUUAUUUAUAAUGGUUCCCGUCCAUUAUAAAUAAUAUACUCCACCCAUCCCCACAAACCUCGGUUAAUUAUGCGACUGGAAUUAGAUUCUAGUCGCAUAAUCAACCGCUGGAAACAAGCUUAAUUUCAUUUUCACACCGUCUUAUCGACAAAUUUUGUUACGGUAAUUUGCUGUAAAACUGUACUUGAAUUGUUUCUGGUCUGUCAGGUUGUGAGGAUGGAUGGAGUGAGGAGAGCUUUGAUGGUUAAAUGCGUUGGAGUGAGAGAGGCAAGACAGUUUAUAAAUGAUAGGAAAGCUCGGAGAGUGUUUGUUUGUGGACGGAUGAGUGAAUUUUGAUGUUGCUCAAAGGUGGGUACACAAUCAGCAUGAUUCGGCGGGGGUAGUAAACUAGCGUAUGCUGUCGGGCCACGCUGCUGACAUUGGAGGUUGCGUUCUAUGCCUUGACCAGAGCAUAGAACGGGGCUCGCCCCUUUGAGCUGGGAAAUGAAUGAAAGGCCUAGUGUCUGACUUGUGGUUAACUGUCCUAAAAAAUUAGGGAAUAAACCUGGGUAUAUAUAUAUAUAUAUAUAUAUAUAUAUAUAUAUAUGUGUGUGUGUGUGUGUGUGUGUGUCUGUGUGUAUAUAUAUAUGUAUGUAUGCAUGUAUGUAUAUAUGUAUAUAUAUAUACAUAUAUAUACAUUUCUAUUCCUGAACGUUAUAUGUUGCAGGGACUUGCAAAAUAAUAACAUCGGCAACAUACCUUAGGGAUGAGAACAAUGUCUCCCUUUAGUCAGAUAAAGGGCCGGGUUCGAAAUUUCCACCAGGACACCUGAUGAAGGUUGGAGAGUACACUAGCCGAAACGUUGUGAUAACAACGGACAAGGUGAGGAGGCAUAUCCGUCCAUUGUAGAUAAUUUUGGGAAAGAACUGUAUCGGUGAUAUGCGUUGGAUUAGAGAUAAUAGAUUAUAUCAACAGGAAUCUGCUACAAUUAAACCUGUAGACUUGGAUUAUUCAUGUGAAUUGUGUAUGUGUGUGUGUGUGUGUGUGUGUGUGUGUGUGUGUGUGUGUGUGUUGUGUGUGUUCAGCCUGAUGUUUAUUUUAUCGGUCGAUUUAGCCGAGUAAUUUGAAAACAACGAUUAAAGGUCCUUUCCGGGUCAUUGACUUAUAAAGAUGGUUUUUCCGGAUUUCGAGACUUACACGCGCGCGCGCGCGCACACACUCACUCACACAUAUUAUAUAUAUAUAUAUAUAUAUAUAUAUAUAUAUAUAUAUAUAUAAUAUAUACACUAGCAAUAUCGCCCGGCGUUGCUCGACCCUUUAGAAUUGGAAUUUUUGAAAAGUAAAAAUUUUGCAUUAUGUAGCUUGUUGUUCUCUUUAAGUGAACAUUUUCCUAGUUAAAAUACACCGAAAAAUGGCGAGACAGCAGUCAAAAAAUCGUAAAAAAUAGGGAUUUUCAUAGAAAAAAAGCACCUUUUUGAUGUAAAUAAUUUUUGGUAUUAACAUGGUCCGAUUUGAAUUUUGUCUUCUAUGGAAUGAAGAGCAAGCCUUCUUCUAUCAUACUCUCAAUUUUGGUCAACUUGCGCCGUAGGGUCUCGGAAGAGAUAGCGUUAGUUGAAGGCUACCAAACCUGCCACACACACACACACAGACAUCAGCUUUAUAUAUAUAUAUAUAUAGAUAUAUAUAUAUUUCUUUCGUGUUCUUUUACUUGUUUCAGCCAUUUGACUCAGUCACGUGUGUGUAUGUGUAUGUGUCUGUGUUGUGUGUAUGUGUCUGUUUGUCGGCGAAAAAAACCCGAAAAAAAACAAGGGCAUCGGUUGGAAAGGCCUUGGAGACCUUUGCGAUUUGACAUAAAUAACUAUAACAAAAUAUGAUAUGGUCUGGUGAUUUCGGUUACACGUGAGAAAAGAGAGAUUCCAUCAGUCUGUAAAACACUCGUCAAGCGGGUGCGAAGUAUGCAAAUUAAACUUGAUCACGUGCCAAUGCCAAAUGAGGAAGUAGCGUGUAACACCAUUUUCACGGCAUACGUCCAAUGUGAGAACAAUGUUAAUCGCAUAAUCUUUCUUUCUCUCACUCUCUUCGUCUUUCUCUCUCUGUCUCUCUCUUUGUUUAUCUCUCACACAUACACACAUACAGUAUAUAGGUGAAGAGGUGCUGUAAUGUUCCUGGCUUUCGGUAAAAGAAAAUACAGGAGGAUCAGUUAAUUAUGAUUUUAUUCAACAUAUUCGCCUCUCAGGUUCACACACUUAUUGCAGUGGUCGUUCUGCUUUUUCUAAGUCCUGUAAAAUAACUCUGAGUGUUGGGCUUCCAGCCAGGCCUUUUCCGACACCCAGGGACUUUUCAGCAUCACCUCGUAUAUGUAUAUAAGUUUGUGUGCGUGUAUAUAUACAUAUAUAUAUAUACACACCGCUUUUAGCCGGUGUUUUUCAAACGAUGAAUAGCUUUGCGUAAACCAUGGUCCGUUUUGUUCUCUUACUUUAUUAUCAUCUCAUAAUCAUCUCAUAAUAAUGUCUUUUAUGACUCUUAUUACUACCUCAGUCAAUCUAAAUGUAUUUAUUUGUUGUUACCUGUCAUAAAUAGCCUUUUUUUUAUUUGCAAUGUGCAUUUUCGUUGAUAUUUCAUAUUUUACCCUUACAUUUCCACGUGUAUUUUAUAUUUUCUUUUUGUAACAUAUUUCUACUAUAUAUAUAUAUAUAUAUAUAUAUAUAUAUAUAUAUAUAUAUAUAUAUAUAUAUAUAUGUACAAAAUUUAGAGGACUGACCACUAAAAGUGGACAGCCUAUAUGCUAAACAUAGACGUCAAAUCGCCAUUACCACAUUCUUCGUAGUAAUGGCGAUUUGACGUCUAUGUUUAGCAUAUAGGCUGUCCACUUUUAGUGGUCAGUCCUCCAAAUUUUGUAUGUAAAACAAUUUUUAAUCUUCGGAUUUUUAAAAAAUAUGCUAAGCCACUGGUUUUAAUUGAUUAAUAUCAAUUUCUACCCUUAUUUAAUUAUAUAUAUAUAUAUAUAUAUAUAUAUAUAUAUAUAUAUAUAUAUAUAUAUAUAUAUAUAUAUAUAUAUCUAUAUAUAUAUAUAUAUAUAUAUAUAUAUAUAUAUAUAUCAAGAUUAAUCAGCCGAAAUUGAUAGGAUGAUCCGGUUCUUGACUGAAGAUUGAAAGCUUCGAAUGUCCCGUCCGUGUUUUUUGUACCGUUUUCUAAAUGUUUUACGUUCUUGUCCCAGUUUGUAUUUUUCUACAUAUAUAUAUAUAUAUAUAUAUAUAUAUAUAUAUAUAUAUAUAUAUAUAUAUUGGAAGGUUUGGAGAUGAUGUACAGGUAUUAUAUUUUAGAAAAAAUGAGGUAAUCAGAUCGGAUGGUUCAUAUUUAUAGAUAUUUAUUUAUAUAUUACAUUUUUUACAUAUAUAUCAUAUCAUUCAGAUCAUAUCAUUCGGAUUAGCGCUUUCUCCCAAUCCAGUGGGAUUAUAUAUAUAUAUAUAUAAACCAGCUUAGAGAAGAAGAAGAAGCGAAACGAAACGAAACGAAUCGAAUCGAAUCGACGCGACGGCGCUCUGUCAUACAAUAGUGUAAUAAAUAAAAUAUAUGCGUACAUUCAAACAUAUAUGUACGUACCUACAUCUACAUGUAUAUAUACAUGCAUAUAUAAAUAUAUAUACAUGUGUACAGGACACCACAAAUAGACGUAGAACUCAACGAGAAACGAAAACGUAAAGACAGCAUGGAACGGACCAUUUUUUUAACAACGAAAAAACAGAGUACAAGACAACUACAAGAUCCAGGGUAC
rnacentral:lncRNA from 1 species